CAGAUGGUUGGGGUUAGUGUGUGUCAUCACAUUCGAGUGGGGAUUAAGAGAAGGAAGGCUGCCUUGCUGGAGCUGUGUGGUCUUCUCCAAGAGAGAGUUGCAGGCAAGACAACUACUUUGCUUUUGGAAGAAGAGGAGGGAUUCAUUUUCAGCGGCCACGAGAAAAGCAGUUUUUCAGGUGUGACGGCCUCCCAUCGUCAAUUGGAGAAGGCGAAUUUCACAAAUGAGAUGCAGGUUCUUCACGGCAGAAUAAUUGCAGACAGUCUUCAAAGAUACCAGCAAUGCUUCCCUGGGCAGGACAUUGUCCUAGACACAGAGGGGACUCCAUCUGCAGAUGUUCUGAAUACCUCUGAGUCUAGAAAUUGAUUAUUCAACCAGGAUACCUAAUUCAAGACUGCCAGAACUCAGGAGACCAAGACAUUUUGUCAGUUUU
rnacentral:lncRNA from 1 species